GGAGAAGGGCUGUAGCUCAGUGGUAGAGCAUCUGCUUUGCAUACAGAAGGUGCCAGGUUCAAUCCUCCUGCAUCUCCA